AAACAAAUAAGUUAAAAGAAACUAUUGGCCUUCAAAGCUAAAAAUAGGGAGGUACCCUUAUGUUUG
rnacentral:tRNA from 1 species